ACAGUCAUAUCAUAUUGAAGCACCAGAUCUCGUACGAUCACCAAAGUUGAGCAAUGUUGAGCCUGUUCAGUACUUUGAUGGGUGACAGCUUGAGAAUACCAGGUGCUGUAAG